rnacentral:rRNA from 1 species
CGGUAAUUCCAGCUCCAAUAGCGUAUACUAAAGUUGUUGCAGUUAAAAAGCUCGUAGUUGGAUUUCUGCGGGGACGGAGCGGCCGGACGCAACUUGCGUCUCGAGCUAGCGCUUUCCCCGCAUCCUGCCGCGAACCGUGCUACCAUUAGUUUGGUGGCGCUGGGGAUCGGCUCGAUUACUUUGAGAAAAAUAGAGUGUUCAAAGCAGGCCACACGCCUUGAAUAAGUUAGCAUGGAAUAAUGACUAAGGACUUCGGUUCUAUUUUGUUGGUGUUCGGGACUGAAGUAAUGAUUGAUAGGGACAGUUGGGGCGGUCUGUAUUCCAAAGCGAGAGGUGAAAUUCUUAGACCUUCGGAAGACAAACAGCUGCGAAAGCGUUCCGCAAGGAUGUUCCCUUUGAUCAAGAACGAAAGUUGGGGGAUCGAAGACGAUCAGAUACCGUCGUAGUCUCAACUAUAAACUAUACCAGCUAGGGAUCGGCCAACGUUUAAUUAAUCGACUUGGUCGGCACCUUAUGAGAAAUCAAAGCAUCUGGGUUCCGGGGGGAGUAUGGUCGCAAGGCUGAAACUUAAAGGAAUUGACGGAAGGGCACCACCAGCCGUGGAGCCUGUGGCUUAAUUUGACUCAACACGGGAAAACUUACCAGGCCCAGACAUAGGAAGGAUUGACAGAUUGAUAGCUCUUUCUUGAUUCUGUGGGUGGUGGUGCAUGGCCGUUUUUAGUUGGUGGAGUGAUUUGUCUGCUUAAUUGCGUUAACGAACGAGACCCCAGCCUGCUAAAUAGCGCGGCUGAGCUUUGCUCGGUGCGAGCUUCUUAGAGGGACCAUGAUGCGCGAUAGCACAAGGAAGUUUGGGGCAGCAACAGGUCUGUGAUGCCCUUAGAUGUUCUGGGCCGCACACGGGCUACACUGGCGCCUGCAACGAGCAUAUCAGCUGGCCCGAGAGGGUCUUGGCUAAUCUUUUGAACCGGCGCUGUGCUUGGGAUUGACCUUUGCAAUUGUUGGUCAUGCAACGAGGAAUGCCUUGUAAACGCGAGUCAUCAGCUCGCAUUGAAUACGUCCCUGCCCUUUGUACACACCGCCCGUCGCUCCUACCGAUGAAUGUUCCGAUGAAAUUUUCGGAGAGCGCCAGAGAACGGGGCUCCGCCUUGCAGAUCUGGAGGCUCAAAGUCACUUAAAUCUGAACAUUUCGAGGAAGGAGAAGUCGUAACAAGGUAGCCG